rnacentral:lncRNA from 1 species
GCUUUGCGACUGUUUUAUGCUAUUCGAUGGGUUCAUGAGCUAAGACUUCAAAAUGUUGAUUUUGAGGUUGAUUCGAAACGUGUAGCAGAUUAUUUUAACCGAAUCAAUAGAGAUAUCACUUGAGUUUGGAAACAUUAUGGAUAGUAAUAUUCAUUAUUGUCAUUCCAAUUUAAAAAACUCUCAUGUUGAAUUUAUUAGGAGGCAAGCGAAUGUGGUUGCCCAUGAAUUAGCAAAGGCAUCCACUUCCUUGACUAGCUUCCGUAUUUUUGAUGAUGUACUGACAUGUAUCCAUGACUUGAUUUUUAAUGAAAUGUUAUAAGGUUAUUGCUUAAAAAAAAAAAAAAAAAAAAGAUACACUGAUUAUUGGGCUCCAUGAUCACAGUAGAUGAAUUGAAACCGUUGAUAAUCAAGCAAGUUACAUUGCGUAGAUUUUUUAGUGUAAAAACACAUUAUAUGGCAUAAGUAUACUCUCUAAAGAAUGGUACUCAUGCAAUUUAUUGUGUCACUCUGGUAUUCAAGGAGCUUCCCAGUAAUACAAAAAACAUUCAUCGUCAAUGCAGUAAUACUUGUGAGUCGAUUUUUGUGGACAAUCUUCAUGAACCUUACAUAGAAUAUCCGCUGUAAUGAAUAAAAUAGAAUAAAAUAAAAAUUACAUACAGUACUAAAGAAUGAAAAUUUUAAAAGGAUUAGAAAAAUUGCUUACCGAAAUAACUUUCAGCAACAAGAAAUAGGGAAAGAAAUAAAA